UGAUACUAAGCCAUGCGAGUCAUUGUAGCAAUACAAGGCAUACGGCUCAGUAACGCGUAGUCAACCUAACCUAUGGACGGGAAUAACCUCGGGAAACUGAGAAUAAUGCCCGAUAGAACAUUAUGCCUGGAAUGGUUUAUGUUCCAAAUGAUUUAUCGCCGUAGGAUGGGACUGCGGCCUAUCAGUUUGUUGGUGAGGUAAUGGCCCACCAAGACUAUUACAGGUACGGGCUCUGAGAGGAGUAGCCCGGAGAUGGGUACUGAGACACGGACCCAGGCCCUAUGGGGCGCAGCAGGCGAGAAAACUUUGCAAUGUGCGAAAGCACGACAAGGUUAAUCCGAGUGGUUUCUGCUAAAGGAACCUUUUGUCAGUCCUAGAAACACUGAUGAAUAAGGGGUGGGCAAGUUCUGGUGUCAGCCGCCGCGGUAAAACCAGCACCUCAAGUGGUCAGGAUGAUUAUUGGGCCUAAAGCAUCCGUAGCCGGCUCUGUAAGUUUUCGGUUAAAUCUGUACGCUCAACGUACAGGCUGCCGGGAAUACUGCAGAGCUAGGGGGUGGGAGAGGUAGACGGUACUCGGUAGGAAGGGGUAAAAUCCUUUGAUCUAUUGAUGACCACCUGUGGCGAAGGCGGUCUACCAGAACACGUCCGACGGUGAGGGAUGAAAGCUGGGGGAGCAAACCGGAUUAGAUACCCGGGUAGUCCCAGCUGUAAACCAUGCAAACUCAGUGAUGCAUUGGCUUGUGGCCAAUGCAGUGCUGCAGGGAAGCCGUUAAGUUUGCCGCCUGGGAAGUACGUACGCAAGUAUGAAACUUAAAGGAAUUGGCGGGGGAGCACCACAAGGGGUGAAGCCUGCGGUUCAAUUGG
rnacentral:rRNA from 1 species